CCUACGGGCGGCUGCAGUCGGGAAUUUUGGGCAAUGGGCGAAAGCCUGACCCAGCAACGCCGCGUGAAGGAUGAAGUAUUUCGGUAUGUAAACUUCGUAAGAAUAGGAAGAAUAAAUGACGGUACUAUUUGUAAGGUCCGGCUAACUACGUGCCAGCAGCCGCGGUAAUACGUAGGGACCAAGCGUUGUUCGGAUUUACUGGGCGUAAAGGGCGCGUAGGCGGCGUGGUAAGUCAGCUGUGAAAUCUCCGGGCUUAACUCGGAACGGUCAGCUGAUACUGCUGUGCUAGAGUACAGAAGGGGCAAUCGGAAUUCUUGGUGUAGCGGUGAAAUGCGUAGAUAUCAAGAGGAACACCUGAGGUGAAGACGGGUUGCUGGGCUGAUACUGACGCUGAUGCGCGAAAGCUAGGGUAGCAAACGGGAUUAGAUACCCGGGUAGUCAU
rnacentral:rRNA from 1 species